AUUGAACGCUGGCGGCAGGCCUAACACAUGCAAGUCGAACGAGUGGCGGAAGGGUGAGUAAUGUCUGGGAAACUGCCUGAUGGAGGGUGAUAACUAAUGGAAAAGGUAGCUAAUACCGCAUACCAUCGGAUGUGCCCAGAUUGGAUUAGCUAGUGGGUGGGGUAAAGGCUCACCUAGGCGACGAUCCCUAGCUGGUCUGAGAGGAUGACAGGCCACACGGGGACUGAGACACGGUCCCGACGCCUACGGGAGGCAGCCGUGGGGAAUAUUGCGCAAUGGGCGCAAGCCUGAUGCAGCAAUGCCGCGUGUAUGAAGAAGGUCUUCGGGUUGUAAAAUACUUUCAGCGGAGAAGCGUUACCCGCACAAGAAGCACCGGCUAACUCCGUGCCAGCAGCCGCGGUAAUUC
rnacentral:rRNA from 1 species